CCUACGGGAGACAGCAGUGGGGGAUAUUGCACAAUGGGGGAAACCCUGAUGCAGCGACGCCGCGUGGGUGAAGAAGCGCCUCGGCGCGUAAAGCCCUGUCAGCCGGGAAGAAAAUGACGGUACCUGAAGAAGAAGCCCCGGCUAACUACGUGCCAGCAGCCGCGGUAAUACGUAGGGGGCAAGCGUUAUCCGGAUUUACUGGGUGUAAAGGGGGCGCAGACGGCGAUGCAAGCCAGGAGUGAAAGCCCGGGGCCCAACCCCGGGACUGCUCUUGGAACUGCGUGGCUAGAGUGCAGGAGGGGCAGGCGGAAUUCCUGGUGUAGCGGUGAAAUGCGUAGAUAUCAGGAGGAACACCGGUGGCGAAGGCGGCCUGCUGGACUGCAACUGACGUUGAGGCCCGAAAGCGUGGGGAGCAAACAGGAUUAGAUACCCCAGUAGUC
rnacentral:rRNA from 1 species